rnacentral:rRNA from 1 species
UGGUAAUGCCGGAUGCUCCAGUUGAUCGCAUGGUCUUCUGGGAAAGCUUUCGCGGUAUGGGAUGGGGUCGCGUCCUAUCAGCUUGACGGCGGGGUAACGGCCCACCGUGGCUUCGACGGGUAGCCGGCCUGAGAGGGCGACCGGCCACAUUGGGACUGAGAUACGGCCCAGACUCCUACGGGAGGCAGCAGUGGGGAAUAUUGCACAAUGGGCGCAAGCCUGAUGCAGCGACGCCGCGUGAGGGAUGGAGGCCUUCGGGUUGUAAACCUCUUUUAUCGGGGAGCAAGCGAGAGUGAGUUUACCCGUUGAAUAAGCACCGGCUAACUACGUGCCAGCAGCCGCGGUAAUACGUAGGGUGCAAGCGUUAUCCGGAAUUAUUGGGCGUAAAGGGCUCGUAGGCGGUUCGUCGCGUCCGGUGUGAAAGUCCAUCGCUUAACGGUGGAUCCGCGCCGGGUACGGGCGGGCUUGAGUGCGGUAGGGGAGACUGGAAUUCCCGGUGUAACGGUGGAAUGUGUAGAUAUCGGAAAA